AAAGGUGUAGCUCAGUGGUAGAGCUUAGCAUGCACAGGGUCCUGGGUUCAAUUCCCGGUACCUGUA
rnacentral:tRNA from 1 species